AUUGAACGCUGGCGGCAGGCCUAACACAUGCAAGUCGAGCGGUUGAGAGUAGCUUGCUACUUGAUGCAGCGGCGGACGGGUGAGUAAUGCAUGGGAAUCUGCCUGGUAGUGGGGGACAACGUUUCGAAAGGAACGCUAAUACCGCAUACGCCCUACGGGGGAAAGGGGGGGAGUCUUCGGACCUCUCGCUAUCAGAUGAGCCCAUGUCAGAUUAGCUAGUUGGGGGGGUAAAGGCCCACCAAGGCGACGAUCUGUAACUGGUCUGAGAGGAUGAUCAGUCACACUGGAACUGAGACACGGUCCAGACUCCUACGGGAGGCAGCAGUGGGGAAUAUUGGACAAUGGGCGAAAGCCUGAUCCAGCCAUGCCGCGUGUGUGAAGAAGGCCUC
rnacentral:rRNA from 1 species